GGUUGUGACUCAGUGGUGGAGUGCUUGCCUAGCAUGCAUGAGGCACUGGGUUCGAUCCCUGGCACCA
rnacentral:tRNA from 1 species